AUCUCGCGACUGAGCCCGCACGGGCCAGCUCGGCCUGGUGCCUACCUCUCCCUGCACUUAACCCUUCUAGAAAGUUAUCAGAGCCCCCAGAUUUUGCGCUCGAGCGGGUUCCGGAUCCAACGGAGCUCAACCCGACCCGGCUCAUCGCCAGGCCGUUCAUUCUUGCCCCUUGCUCUACACCGCCGAAAUUCACAGAAGAGUCCGAUCUCGUCGCUGCUUGUAAUCCGCCAGUGUUCCCUGUUGAUAAUUUAUCAAAGCCUGCAAAAAUUUUUUUGAGGCACAAGCAAAUUGUUGUUGAGAUAAACUGAAUUGUAACUAGAAAGCAUAGUCACUUCCGGUUGAGUCGUUGCUCCACAAGUAUCAAACAGUAAUCGGAUUUUGGUUCUCAUCGUGGAAUUUGAUGCUGGUGAAAGGAAAAAAAGGGGAGCUGAUUAUAAAAAUGCUUGGUCCUGCUAUAGGGGCUUUGCCUGGUUUCCCUCCUCAAACAAGUAGAACAUGUGAAAUUGCUCCGUUUCCUGACACCUGUAUUAAACCACUGCAAGAUGUUCUGUUGUUGUGGUAGUACCGUCAGAUGACUUGCAGAAAGCAAUCAUAAUUUCCAAUACGUCUGCUGUUACAAUGUUAUUUGGGAGAUUAAACUGUCAUGGAGCAACCCAAAUGGAGGAGAAUAUAAGUAGUACAUGGAUUGGAUGUACAGAGCAUAUACAGACUGAACAAUCAGUUGAGGCACAAUUAACACAGUGAUGAGGACCAUUUGGAUGCCAGCGAUCUGUUUCCCCCCAAAUCUUCAUUUGCAGGUCAUUGAAGGAGUAGGACCAACAAAUCAAGCUUAUACCCAGAGCCCUGUGCCAAAGGUUGGCUCCAGCAUGUGAGGUCACGGUCCAUGAUGUAUAUAACCAUACCCGAGUAUUUAUGAGCAGAUCAAUUUUAAUCCAUUAUUGCACGCGUAUGAAGCUACUACAGUUUUCGUGUCCAUCUCUAACAGUUGCUCUGGAUACACUGUACACGAAAUGCACAUAAUGGGGGACCGCAAAAGGGGUUUGUAGAUCGAUGCAAGAUUUUCCAGUGUCUGUUGGAGGUUGGUGAAUAAUAUCGGAUUGAGAUGUGAAUGAGAGAGAGCAAAGAGGGGGAGCUUUGGCAAUGAAUGCGACGGGUUUCUUAUGAAAGGGUAAGCACAAAAGAGGAGUGGAGGCGUAUGCUUUUGACCUGAUCAAAUUGGGAUUGAUUAGGAAAGCGACGGAGCGUAAGACGAGGACAUUACCGCCGCUUAUGAAACUUCUGUGAACGAGAGAGGGAUUGAGAGACAAAGGGGUGGUUUACGGUUGUGUGAAGAAGUACAGUGAAUGCAACCUAGUAUAGGUGAUAUGAGAGAGGGGGGAUGUUGUAAUUUAGUAGGAGCCACAGCUUACUACUGUUUUCGGUUCUGACAGGAAGAGUGAGGUGCUCCCUAGAUGUUGGGAGUUAAGGUGAUUUCUUUCGUGGGAUGUGGAUGGUUGACAAGUGUCGCUUGUUUUUUUAUGGGAAUAUUGAAGCUUUCAUGGGAAAAUGAGUGGAGAUUGAUUGGUAACAGUUUGUUAACACAGAAUGAUGAAUAUGCUAAUUUGAACCUCAAAAGACUUCGGGAUCGAAGUAUGGCCCGAGAGAAUAAAGGGCAAUUUGUAAGUGGAGGACGUUUAGCUUUGUUUCUUUUUCUUUUUAGUCUUUUCCCCCCUUUAUUUAUCGGCAUUCUUCAUAUAUUCCUCAUGUAAGGCAUAAUAUGUGUAUAUAAUGUAGUCUAACAAAGUUUGAUCUCUCCUGCAUGCCUUGUGUAAUACGAGGAUUAUUGUUUACCUUAAAUAAUUCAUCAAUUGAACUGGUAACUUAGAAUCAAA